CAAUAGCGUAUAUUAAAGUUGUUGCGGUAAAAAAGCUCGUAGUUGGAUUUCUACCGAAGAUAGCCGGUCGGGUCUUCGACCUUGUAUCUGGUUUUGUCUUUGGUAUCCUCAUAGGGAACGUUUCUGCGCUUUAUUGCGUGGUGCGGUAUCUAUGACUUUUACUUUGAGGAAAUUAGAGUGUUCACGGCAGGCAAACGCCUUGAAUAUAUUAGCAUGGAAUAAUAACAUAGGAUCUUCGUCCUAUUUUGUUGGUUUCUAGGGCUAAGAUAAUGAUUAAUAGGGAUAAUUGGUGGCAUCUGUAUCAACGCGUCAGAGGUGGAAUUCUUGGAUUGCGUUGCGACAAACUACUGCGAAAGCAUUUGCCAAGGAUGUUUUCAUUGA
rnacentral:rRNA from 1 species